rnacentral:rRNA from 1 species
CCUACGGGUGGCAGCAGUGAGGAAUAUUGGUCAAUGGCCGAGAGGCUGAACCAGCCAAGUCGCGUGAGGGAAGACGGCCCUACGGGUUGUAAACCUCUUUUGUCGGGGAGCAAAGCGAGUCACGUGUGACUCAUUGAGAGUACCCGAAGAAAAAGCAUCGGCUAGCUCCGUGCCAGCAGCCGCGGUAAUACGGGGGAUGCGAGCGUUAUCCGGAUUGAUGGGGUUAAAGGGGUGCGCAGGCGGAGGUGCAAGUCAGCGGUCAAAUUGCGGGGCUCAACCCCGUACUGCCGUUGAAACUGCAGCCCUUGAGUGCGCGAGAAGUAUGCGGAAUGCGUGGUGUAGCGGUGAAAUGCAUAGAUAUCACGCAGAACUCCGAUGGCGAAGGCAGCAUACCGGCGCGCAACUGACGCUCAUGCACGAAAGCGUGGGUAUCGAACAGGAUUAGAUACCCGUGUAGUC